AAACCUAAAGACAAUCCACGUGUUAAAGCAGAUAUGCGUAUCAUCGAUUAUUCAUACAGAUUCUACGCAGUAUUUGGCCCCACACCAUAUUCCUUGAUUUCAUCAUCAUCGAUUUGUUUACAUAAUAAAAUCAAAAUUAAGCUUAACAACUAAGUAUCCAUCUUCUUCUCCCGAAUCAGAAAAAUGGAGUUCCCCUUCAAUCACAACACCUCCAACGUAACCCACACUCAUCACCACCGUCGUGACGACGACAACAACGAACAACAUUAUCCACCACCUGGUCACAACAAUUUAUCUUCCUUCAACCAACCACCACCACCACCACAUCAUCAACAACCACCUUUCUACCCUAACCCAUCAUACCCACCACCACCACAACAACAACCACAUCAACCCGAAACUCAAGUCUUCCACACCGGGCACGUGUCCCGUAAUGACAAUUUCAACAAUUACCCUCAACAACCACAACCUCACCAAGAAACUCAAGUGUUCCACACUGGACACGUGUCCCAUGAAAACUUCAACAGUUACCCUCAACCACCACCACCUCAAUCUCAUCAUCAACAACCCAGCUACGGCGCUGCGUACCCACCUGCACCACCAUCCGUACCGGAUCACACCUCCGCCCCAUUCCCAAACGCAACUGUUCACCAUGUUUCUCAUGAAACCCAUAACCCUCAUUUUCCUUCUUCCAACG
rnacentral:lncRNA from 1 species